rnacentral:rRNA from 1 species
UUCCGGUUGAUCCUGCCGGAGGUUACUGCUAUCGAGGUUCGACUAAGCCAUGCGAGUCGAAUGUAGCAAUACAUGGCGAACUGCUCAGUAACACGUGGACAACCUGCCCUUAGGACGGGGAUAAACCCGGGAAACUGGGUAUAAUACCCGAUAGGUCUCGAUUGCUGGAAUGCAUCGAGAUUUAAAGCUCCGGCGCCUAAGGAUGGGUCUGCAGCCUAUCAGGUAGUAGUGGGUGUAGCGUACCUACUAGCCUACGACGGGUACGGGUUGUGAGAGCAAGAGCCCGGAGAUGGAUUCUGAGACACGAAUCCAGGCCCUACGGGGUGCAGCAGGCGCGAAAACUUCACAAUGCUGGCAACAGCGAUAAGGGAACCUCGAGUGCCAGGUUACAAAUCUGGCUGUCGAGAUGCCUAAAAAGCAUUUCAUAGCAAGGGCCGGGCAAGACCGGUGCCAGCCGCCGCGGUAACACCGGCGGCUCGAGUGGUAACCGUUAUUAUUGGGUCUAAAGGGUCUGUAGCCGGCCGGAUAAGUCUCUUGAGAAAUCUGGCAGCUUAACUGUCAGGCUUUCAGGAGAUACUGUCUGGCUCGAGGCCGGGAGAGGUGAGAGGUACUUCAGGGGUAGGGGUGAAAUCUUGUAAUCCUUGAAGGACCACCAGUGGCGAAGGCGUCUCACCAGAACGGACCUGACGGCAAGGGACGAAAGCUAGGGGCACGAACCGGAUUAGAUACCCGGGUAGUCCUAGCCGUAAACGAUACUCGCUAGGUGUCGGCCACGGUGCGACCGUUGUCGGUGCCGUAGGGAAGCCGUGAAGCGAGCCACCUGGGAAGUACGGCCGCAAGGCUGAAACUUAAAGGAAUUGGCGGGGGAGCACCACAACGGGUGGAGCUUGCGGUUUAAUUGGAGUCAACGCCGGG